AUGUUCCGCAGGGCACGCCUUAGCGUGAAGCCGAAUGUCAGGCCCGGAGCAGGCGCCAGGGCCUCCACCGCCCCCAAUUCCCAGCGUGAACAAGAACCUCCAAGGCCGCAGGAGCCUGCCGCGGCCUCUGCUCCGAAGCCUCCGGAAUCCACAGAUGUGCCCCCGGUGGACUUCGGGGAAGCGGAGCCCCAAGACAAGACUCCCAAGAGCAGUGUUGAAAAGACUGAUGAUGGGAAGGAUGUUGAAGAAUCCAGUAAGCCUUCCUUUACUGUUUCACAGAAAAGAAAGCGAAUACCAAGUACUUCUAGUCUGGUCAAACCUAGUGUCAGUGUUCCUUCAGAACCUCAUCCUUUAUCUACAGUUAAUCAAGAAGCUCCACAGCCAAACCCUGUUCCAACAAAAGAGAAACAGCCAUGUUCAGACAGAUACCGAAUAUACAAAGCCCAGAAACUGAGGGAAAUGUUAAAAGAAGAAUUGAGGAAAGAGAAGAAGCAAUGGAAAAACAAGUAUGCCGUAAAUGAAACUCAAAGGCCACCGGAUCGUUCCAAAAUGACUAUGAGAGACUUCAUAUAUUAUCUACCAGAAAGCAAUCCAAUGACUUCUUCACUGGAGCAGGAAAAGAAAACUGAAAAAUCAUCGACACCAGUCCGAACACGAGAGCAAGAAAGCAAGACUACUCCUGAUGGUGAAGAUAACGACGAAGUAGAAGAAGAGUUGGAUGAUGGGCCCUUGCUGGUUCCUCGAGUAAAAGUGGCAGAAGAUGGGUCUAUUAUUUUGGAUGAAGAAAGUUUAACUGUAGAAGUUUUAAGGACAAAAGGUCCCUGUGUUGUUGAGGAAAAUGACCCCAUAUUUGAGCGUGGUUCUACAACUACAUAUUCCAGCUUUAGGAAAAGCUACUACUCUAAACCAUGGUCAAAUAAAGAGACAGAUAUGUUUUUUUUAGCCAUCAGCAUGGUAGGAACUGACUUUUCUAUGAUUGGACAGCUUUUUCCUCACAGAGCAAGAAUAGAAAUUAAGAAUAAAUUUAAACGUGAAGAGAAAACAAAUGGAUGGAGAAUAGACAAAGCAUUCCAGGAAAAGCGCCCUUUUGACUUCGAUUUUUUUGCUCAUUUGCUUCAGAAAGUUCUUGCCGAAGAAGAGAAAAGAAAACAAAAAUCUGUUAAAAAUCAGAGUUCAAAGGAGAAGAAGUCCUCUAAAUCACGGAAAAAUGUAAAAGUGAAAAAAGUUGCUAAUGAUGAUCGAGAUGAGUCUGUGAGCACUAAAAUUUCAAACUCAGGAAGGUCGCAAAAGGAUGCUCAGACAGUUGAAGAAGAACUGCAGUCUCUGACUUUAUCUGAACAGGAUUCAGAACAGAAUGCAUUAGAACUAGACGUAAAUCAAAAGAAAAGAAGAAGAAAGAAUCAGGGUGAGGGUAGUGAACAAGAAGUGCAUUUUUCAGGAAGUGCCACUGUUCAGCCAGGCUCUUCUAAAGGAGAAAAACACAAAAAUAAAGGCCUGUGUUUAAGUCCUGAGAUUAAUGAAAAUGAAUCCAGUAAGGAACAAGAGCUUCCCUGUGUACAGGACACAGAUGACCUUGUGGGUUUAUCCUCUAGUGAAGACGCUGAGAAAAGAACUGACCCUAUUCUUUCAUCAAGUCAACAAGAUGUCAUAUCAGUAGCAACUGAGACUGCAGAAUCAAACACUUCAGACUUGCCUUCAUCAGAAGGUGGAGUUAGAGCAUUGUGUGAGGUGAAUAGUGCUGAGAGUAGUUGUACAGAAGAAAGAGAUGUUGACCUAAAAGAUAAAUCACUGGAACCUGACCAAACAGAAACUAUUAAACCAAUGACAAGAGGACGACUCCAGAGACCUAAACCCAAUUUAUCGAGGGCAGUUGGGAAGAAAUCAGUUCUUUCACGAGGUAAAACAGAUGCAGAGGACAAGAGUUUACAUAAAGAAACUCCUGUUGAAAAGAGUCCCAUGGAAAAGGAUGGUAUUUCUGGAAUGGAGAAUACAGAGAAAGGGAACCGAGAACCUGACUCUGUAUCUAAUUUGAGUGAAAAAACUUGUCUGCAGGAAGAUGAUCAACCAAAGGCUUUCAGACCUGCACGACUAAUGCGGGGCUUAUUACAAAGGCCGAAACCAAAUGUAGGUAAAGCUGCUGAAAGAAAAGGAACUCUUACAUCACAGGAAAAGCCCGGUGCCAGUAUAGAAAAGAAUGAAAAUGAAUCCUGCAUCAACAGAAAUACUCCUGAACAGAUAGAAGAUCAAUCAUGUGAAAAUUUUGAGUGUGAAGACAUUGCAUCACUACCUGAAAAAAAAGACAGUUCCUUUCAAAAUGUGCAGUCAGAUGAGCCCAAGGCUGUUAAUGAGUGUCUGAGUAUUCAGGAGGAUAAUAGAGCAAAUAAAGAUGUUCGAAUUCCAAAGACUCGAUUUCAGAAACCAAAGCCAAAUCUAGGGAGGAGAACUGGAAGAAGAGGAAUUUCCUCAAAGGAAGAGGUACCAAAGGAGGUAAUUGCCUCUGAGGAGAUGACAGCAGCUUUGAGAGAAACUGCAACACUGGAAACCUCACUAAGGGAGAAGGAACCUGUGGAGACUAAUACUACUAAGGAAAUGGAGUCAGAUUUAAAAGAAAUUGGAAGAAAAGACAUCUCUUCCUGGGAUAUAACUCCGGAAAUGAGUGAUGUCGCUGUGGAAAUGGAGACAGAUUUGAAAGAAACUGAGAAAAAUGACAUCUCUCCCAGGGAAAAAAUGCCAGAAAUAAGUGAUGUCACUGUGGAAAUGAAGACUGAUUUGAAGGAAACCGAAAAAAAUGACAUCUCUACCAUGGAGAAGAUACCAGAAAUGAUUGCUGUCAUUGCAGAAAUGGAAACAGAUUUGAAAGAAACUGGAAAAAAUGACAUCUCUCCCAGGGAGAAAAUACCAGAAAUGAGUGAUGUCACUGCAGAAAUGGAGACAGAUUUGGAAGAAACUGAAAAAUAUGACAUCUCUCCCAGGGAGAAAAUGCCAGAAAUGAGUCCUAUCAUUGCAGACAUGGAGACAGAUUUGAAAGAAACCGGAAAAAAUGGCAUCUCUCCCAGGGAGACAGUACCAGAAAUGAUUGAUGUCACUGCAGAAAUGGAGACAGAUUUGGAAGAAACCGGAAAAAAUGACAUCUUUCCCAGGGAGGAAAUACCAGAAAUGAGUGAUGUCACUGUGGAAAUGAAGACUGAUUUGAAAGAAGUUGGAACAAAUGACAUCCCUCCCAGGGAGAAAAUGCCAGAAAUGAUUGAUGUCACUGCAGAAAUGGGGACAGAUUUGAAAGAAACCAAAAAAAAUGACAUCUCUCCCAGGGAGGAAAUACCAGAAAUGAGUGAUGUCACUGUGGAAAUGAAGACUGAUUUGAAAGAAGCUGGAACAAAUGACAUCCCUCCCAGGGAGAAAAUGGCAGAAAUGAUUGAUGUCACUGCAGAAAUGGGGACAGAUUUGAAAGAAACCGGAAAAAAUGACAUCUCUCCCAGGGAGGAAAUACCAGAAAUGAGUGAUGUCACUGUGGAAAUGAAGACUGAUUUGAAAGAAGUUGGAACAAAUGACAUCCCUCCCAGGGAGAAAAUUCCAGAAAUGAUUGAUGUCACUGCAGAAAUGGGGACAGAUUUGAAAGAAACCAGAAAAAAUGACAUCUCUCCCAGGGAGGAAAUACCAGAAAUGAGUGAUGUCACUGUGGAAAUGAAGACUGAUUUGAAAGAAGUUGGAACAAAUGACAUCCCUCCCAGGGAGAAAAUGCCAGAAAUGAUUGAUGUCACUGCAGAAAUGGGGACAGAUUUGAAAGAAACCGGAAAAAAUGACAUUUCUCCCAAGGAGAAAAUACCAGAAAUGAUUGAUGUCACUGCAGAAAUGGGGACAGAUUUGAAAGAAACCGGAAAAGAUAACGUUUCUCCCAGGGAGGAAAUACCUGAAAUGAUUGAUAUCUCUGUGGAACUAGAGACAGAUUCGAGAGAAACUGGAAAAAAUGACAUUUUUGCCAGGGAGAAAAUGCCAGAAAUGAGUGAUGUCACUGCAGAAAUGGAGACAGAUUUGAAAGAAACCAGAAGAGAGAUUUUCCCAGGGGAGGAGAUAACAGUGGUGACUGAGGCCACAGAGGAAAGAAAGACAGAUUUGGAAGAGACUGAAAGAAGAGAAAUGUCCCUAGAGGAAAAUGUCCCAGAGGAAGUUGAUACUAUUUGUGAGGUAGAAACAGAUUUGAAAAAAACUGAGAGAGAAGUUUCCCCAAAUGAGGAGAUAGCAGAGAUGCCUGGUGCUGCUGAGGAAGUAGAGACAGGUCUAGAAGAAACUGAUGGAAGAGAAAUAUCUACACAAAAAAAUGCCUCAGAGGUCAAAACUGUAGGUGAUGAAAUGGAUAUAGAUUUGAAAGAAAUUGGAAUAGAAAUUUCCCCAAGGGAAAAGAUAUUAUUGGGGAUCAGUGCCACAGGGGAAAGAGAGACUGGUGUGGAAGAAACUGGGCAGACAGACAUUUUCCUGAUGGAGAAAGCAUCAGCAAAGGUGGCUGCCAUUGAGGAAAUAGAGGCAGAUUUGAGAGACACUGGAAAAGAAAUUUCCUUGACGAAAAGCAGAUCAGAAGAGAUCGAGAAAAGCGUGGCAGAUUUGAAAAACGUAGAAAAAAUAGACAUUUCCCUAAGGGAAAAAGAACCAGAGGAGACUGGGACCUCAAGUCGAGCUGAGGCAGAUCCCUUGCAGGCCAGCAGUGGUGACUCCAGCACUGUGCCUUCACUGACUAAGAGAGACUUGGGCAGGGAAGUGCUAUCUGCUGUGGUUCAUACAUCUGUAGAAGAAAAAAAUUCUGAAAAGGAAGUGUCAAGUCAGUUGAGUCAUUUGAACAUUUCUUCUCAGUCUUCUGAGCUUGAUAAAAUAGAAGACCAGAGGAUGCGACCUCCAAGUGUUCCAGAGCAGUUUUCAGAUGUUAAUAUAAGCAAAUCUCUUCCUCAAGAACAGACACCAUGUGAAGUUAAGCUGACACCCUUUGUGAGAAGUAGAUUCAAAAGACCUAAACCAAACUUAGCAAGAGCAGCUUCAAAAAGAGAGACUACGAAAGCAGAAAAGCAUGCACCUGGGAAGGAGGUGGAAGCUGAUGAAACAGAGACGGUUGUGAUACAGCAGAACUGUGAACAAAUGAGUACUCUCCCUUCUCAACAUGAUGUGGCUUCUCUAAUGACAUCAAGAGAGAAAGACAAAUUAGAUCACGGUCCAGAGGAAACUGUGAUAUUACCAUGUGUGCAGACUGAAAAGGACCUUUCACCUUUGAGUUCUUGUGAAUCUAAAGAGGAGUCUCAGUCUACACAAGCCCAGGAAAAGAAAUUAGUUGUCUCUAUGGGGACUCAUAAUAUAAACACUUUUGAACAAGGAAUAAAGGAAAGGGUUAUCCAAUCUGCUCCACUAGUAAGGGGUCGACUUCAGAGACCCAGACCAAACUUAAGAAAGGUGGGCCAGAGGCAAGUAAUAGAAAAAAGUGAAACCAAAGAAACAACUAAGGAAGAAAAGACGCUACAAAAAGAUGAAACUGGAGAGAAAUUCCUGACUGUGCCAAAUUCUCAAAUUGCAACUGAAAUUGAAGUUGUAUCCUCUGAAGUGUCAGAAGGCAGAAUGUCUGAAAACCAGAGCCAUGUUCUUUUAGAAAACGUUCAUAUUAACAAAGUAGAUGUUUUAGAUGAAAAGAUGAGACAUGGACAUGAAACGUAUGUUCCUAGUCCACCACAAAUGAUAGGAAGACAGUUCCAAAGGGCUAAGCCAAAUUUGGGAAGAGCACAAAGUAAGAAAGAAGCAUCAGACAUAGAAGAAGACAGAGCAGACCAGAGGAAGGCAAGGAAGCCAGAAGAUAGUUUGUCACAGCAUGAAGGUUCUGACAGCCAGCUUCUUCCAAAAGGAAAACCUGAGUUUCUGACAUCUCUGGAGGUUUCAGCAAGAAAAGAUUCUGUAGGUUCCGAGGAGACUGAAUUGGCAAAAAAAGAUGCUCAAUCCGAAGUUGAACCAUCUGGGAGUGUUGGAGAGAAGACUGGAGAGGAUAAUUCUCUGUGUGCAGUUGUGGAAAAGCGGUGUAUCAGUAAACCGAGCUCCCCUCAAUUGUUAAAAGAACCAGAUAACUCUAAAAUUGCUCUGGAUCGAAGAAGAGCGCUCUCUUCUGCCUCUGAGCGUGAGAUAGAUCAUAGUAGAAGGAGAGUACGUCGCAAGGUUAAACCGAGCAUCCCUAAAGGGCGUGGCUCAAAACGAAGUCGGAGUAAGACUUCUAAGAAGGAACCCAGAGCUUCCAGGUCUGUGCUGGUGACUCUUCGAGCUUCCCAGGAAGAAGAUGAAGAUGAUGGUGAAGACUUUGAGUCUGACUACGAAGAAGAAAGCUAUCAUCUUGCUCCUGAAGAAGUAAACAAAGCUCCAGUGUUUGUACCUAUUGGUCUCAGAUCUCCUGAACCUGUUCCUGUUCAGAUUGAGGAAACUAUGGAAGAGCUUGUAAUCCCCACGAAUGUCACAGAUGUAGGAUGCAUAACUGUUGUUGAACAUCAACUUUCAUCAAACGUGGAUGUGAUUCCUCAAGAAAUGAGACAAGAAGAAAAUUUGAAUGCAUUAUCAGUUGAAAUGACCAUAGGUGAACAUUCCCAAGCUGAAACAGAAAGUACCAACGAUGGGAGCACUGAAGCUGCCAUAACCCUACUGACUAUGGGAGAUCUGGUGUUGCAGUCAGAGAUUAGCCCAGAACAGAGUGAUGGAAUAUGUAUACUUCCUGAUGCUCAUUCAGUCGAUCAAAGCCAUAUUCCUUUUAGCCCAGAUAAUGUAAAUCUCAAAAUUGUUCAUGAAUGUCAAGAACCUUCUUCACCUGGCCAUAAUACAUCUCCAUCAGUAGAACAAAACAAGAUUGUAUUGGAUGUGGAUAAACAGAAUACUAAAGAAGAAAUUGGUUUGACAGAAGUAAAGGAAAACACUACAUCAUCCAGGACUACAACUUCUGAAGUGACCAAUAAUGUGAGAAAAAGAAGUAGAUUUGCCAAGCCCAAGCCAGAUCUUAAGAAGAUGUUAGGGACCAAGAGAUUUGGUGCUCAUCAGAAAGUUCCUAGUUUGUUUGUAACUAAAGGAGAAGAAGUGGAAAUUCAAAGAGACACUGAGAAAAAUGCUUCUCAAGAAACAGGAUUAGAAGAUAAAAACCUCGGGUCGGUUACGGCAACAGAGAGUACAGAGCAGAGCAAAGUGGCAUCUGCACAUGGUGUUGAAGAGACCAGUAUUUCACAGGAAGCUCACCUAACUGAGAGAGGUGAAGAUCAAGAAGGGAGAUCUGAAGAAGUUCCGAUAUCAUCAGUUGCUCCCGCUGUCUCUUCUGAGUCAGGGCCCCACACAGGCGGUCUGGGCAUGGGUCUUGGUGAGAGUUCUGUUGAAGAGCCUCUGGGAAAGGACUUUAACGGAGAUCCUGUGCUCACACUAAAUGUGCCAGAGUGUAUACCAACUAGUAUUCCAGAAGUCCAGCAAGAGAAUGUGAACGAUCUUCAAGACAUAACAGUCAAUCUAGUUAAUGUACAUCAGGAUGGUGAGGAUGAACAAACUUUCAUCUUAACUCUGGUGGAAAUCCCAGAAGAAUAUGCUGAUAGCACUAUGCAGUUAAUGCCAAAUCCUUUACUGCCGGCGCCCAUAUUGGUCAAAUCGAUGAAUACAAAAGAAAGAGAAGACAUGAGUAUCAGUUUUCCAGGAACUUCCGUAGGUCAAGAUGACACGUGUUUAUCUAAUUCUGAAAGAGAUGAUUCAGAAAAGUCUGCUGCUAAUUUGAAUCUUGUAUCUAGGAAGAGAUAUCAUUGUAGCGUUGAUGAAAGUGACCAUGUCCCUCCUGCCAAAAAAACUUCACUCACUUCAAUAGAUGAUUGUCAAAAAUAUACCUCUGAGGUGUGUUCAAAGGAAUUAAAAAAUGUUUUGGAGGAAACAGGGGAGUCUUACAAGGGACAGGAUAUCUUCCCUACCUCAGGAAACAUACAGACAAUUUCAGAACCUCCGAAAGAGCAACUUGAACCAACUUCUCAGAGUAUCAGAUCUGGAUCUCUUGAUAAAAUAACAGAUACACAAGAAAAGGAUGCAUCUCAGUUACCUCAGGAUGAGAUGAUGGUGUCUGAUAAGGAAGAAAGAACUUGUGCUGCUUCUGAAUCUGAACAAAUGGGCAGCAUCACAUCGUCUUCGAAACCCCCCCUAACCAGACCUGGCAGAAGACCCCUGGGAUUUUUGUCUUUACUAUGUUCAAAGAAUAGCUUGGACUCUGAUGAACCUACACAGGUUCAUUGUAAGAAACGCCUAAAACCUGUUAUACCUGUAUCAAGACAAAAUUUGAAAAGAUGUAAUCUGCCUAGUGUAAGCCAGAAAAAAACUCGAGAGUCCUCUGAUGUUCCAUCUCCAAGUGUUGUUGACAAUACUCAACAUACGAAUAAUGCUAGUUCAGCAACUCAGGUUUCUCAUAAUCGUCCCUUACUGAAAGGAGAAUGUAAAGGUGGCCAAAACCGGGUACCUGAAGAGGAGCCAACCACAGUCUCUGAAUAUUUCUUUAAUGAUAUCUUUAUUGAAGUGGAUGAAACAGAAUAGAAAGUCGCCUUUUUUAUUUUUUUUUUAAGUCUGAGAUUUCCAGAAUCAGUUAUAUCAACAAAGCAGUAU
rnacentral:lncRNA from 1 species